rnacentral:rRNA from 1 species
UGGGGAAUCUUCCGCAAUGGGCGAAAGCCUGACGGAGCAACGCCGCGUGAAUGAAGAAGGCCUUCGGGUCGUAAAGUUCUGUCAUAUGGGAAGAAAGUCAUAUUGCGAACAGUUAUAUGAUUGACGGUACCAUAAGAGGAAGCUCCGGCUAACUACGUGCCAGCAGCCGCGGUAAUACGUAGGGAGCAAGCGUUGUCCGGAAUUACUGGGCGUAAAGGGCGCGUAGGCGGGGACUUAAGUCAGGUGUGAAAACUCCAAGCUCAACUUGGAGACUGCACUUGAAACUAAGUUUCUUGAGGGCAGGAGAGGAAAGUGGAAUUCCUAGUGUAGCGGUGAAAUGCGUAGAUAUUAGGAGGAACACCAGUGGCGAAGGCGACUUUCUGGACUGUACCUGACGCUGAGGCGCGAAAGCGUGGGGAGCGAACGGG